rnacentral:rRNA from 1 species
GAAACGACUGCUAAGACUGGAUAGGAAACAAAAAGGCAUCUUUUUGUUUUUAAAAGACCUUCUUAUGAAGGUAUGCUUAAAGAGGGGCUUGCGCCACAUUAGUUAGUUGGUAGGGUAAAAGCCUACCAAGACGAUGAUGUGUAGCUGGACUGAGAGGUUGAACAGCCACAUUGGGACUGAGACACGGCCCAAACUCCUACGGGAGGCAGCAGUAGGGAAUUUUCGGCAAUGGAGGAAACUCUGACCGAGCAACGCCGCGUGAACGAUGAAGUAUUUCGGUAUGUAAAGUUCUUUUAUUGAAGAAGAAAAAGUAGUGGAAAAACUAUAUUGACGUUAUUCAAUGAAUAAGCCCCGGCUAACUAUGUGCCAGCAGCCGCGGUAAGACAUAGGGGGCGAGCGUUAUCCGGAAUUAUUGGGCGUAAAGGGUGCGUAGGCUGUUAGAUAAGUCUAUAAUUUAAUUUCAGUGCUUAACGCUGUUUUGUUAUAGAAACUGUCUUGACUAGAGUGAGAUAGAGGCAAGCGGAAUUCCAUGUGUAGCGGUAAAAUGUGUAAAUAUAUGGAGGAACACCAGAAGCGUAGGCGGCUUGCUGGGUCUUUACUGACGCUGAGGCACGAAAGCGUGGGUAGCAAACAGGAUUAGAUACCCUGGUAGUCCACGCCGUAAACGAUGAGUACUAAGUGUCGGGGUAAAACUCGGUACUGAAGUUAACACAUUAAGUACUCCGCCUGAGUAGUACGUACGCAAGUAUGAAACUUAAAGGAAUUGACGGGACUCCGCACAAGCGGUGGAUCAUGUUGUUUAAUUCGAAGAUACACGAAAAAUCUUACCAGGUCUUGACAUACUCUGCAAAGCUAUAGAAAUAUAGUGGAGGUUAUCAGGGAUACAGGUGGUGCAUGGUUGUCGUCAGUUCGUGUCGUGAGAUGUUAGGUUAAGUCCUAAAACGAGCGCAACCCUUGUCGUUAAUUGCCAGCACGUAAUGGUGGGGACUUUAGCGAGACUGCCAAUUAAACAUUGGAGGAAGGUGAGGAUUACGUCAAAUCAUCAUGCCCCUUAUGAUCUGGGCUACAAACGUGAUACAAUGGCUGUGACAAAGAGUAGCUGAAACGCGAGUUUUUAGCCAAUCUCAAAAAAGCAGUCUCAGUUCGGAUUGAAGUCUGUAACUCGACUUCAUGAAGUUGGAAUCGCUAGUAAUCGCGAAUCAGCAUGUCGCGGUGAAUACGUUCUCGGGGUUUGUACACACCGCCCGUCA